AAUACCGUAUGAACUACUUGUACAUAUACACUAGCAAUACUAUUGAUAUACUAACAAUGGUGUGUAUUUGUUGUAGAUUCUUGAUGGUUAGUCUGCAUUGGCAGCUGCACAAGAAAUGUGUAUGAUGAAUUUAUAAGACGUAAUCCUGAUUUUAUUUCAAAUAAUGGGACAGCAACAGCAUCAAUGUUUGCUCAUUUGCUUGGUAGCGUAAUAUACUAUGACCUGAUGUAUGAGACCUGUCUUGUCAAUGGACUACUAGAGAAAAGGAAAGAGAUUGUACACCGAUGGACAUUCAUUUAACAGAUCAUCCAUUUAAAAAUGAGUCUGAUGAAAAGUUUGAAGAGCUACAGAAAUUAAGAAUAAGAGUUUCUAAACUUGAAUCAGAGCUAGGGAUAAAGAAAGGGUUCAGUUCUAUAAAGUUUGAAGUGGAUCAGUUAUUUGCUGUUGGGUCUCCAUUGGGUAUACUCUUAAUGCUAAGGGAACACAGUCCACUAGUAUAAAGGAAAGUAAAGGAGCUGAUUCACUGCUGGCUUCUGCUAACAGAUUCAUAAUGUACAUCAUCUUUCAGAUCCUGUGGCCUAUUAUUUGGAGUUCAGUAUAUGCUCAAGUGAAGCUGGUAAAGAUGGACGCUGCUAGUAGCAAACCAAUGCAGAAAUCAAUCGGUCUAGCUGAAGGACCCAAGACACCAGAAGUGACACAGAGUACUAAGAGUAGUAGCAGCAGUUGGACACAAUCACUGAUAUCAGCUGUAGUUAAGUGUUGCUUCUAGUAAUGGCGCUGAAACUUGUAAAUCAUUUACCUCAUGAUAAAGUAGGCUUUUGAUGACACCGAAAUACUACCUGAAGAUCGAUUAAAUAAGAGAGUUGAUUUAUUGUUCUGUGAAGGACUGAAAGAGAACAGUUACUUAAACUAAAUCACAGCUGACACUGGGUAUUGGACCAACUCUGACUGUGCAAUGUAUCUAUUGCUUCAAUGGUAUACUUAGAAAAAGGACAGCAAACUGUGACUGAUGGUAUCUUGUUGAUUUAUAUAGUGGAUUUCUGUUUCUUUGUCAUU